rnacentral:piRNA from 1 species
GAAGCAGAACUUGGUGCAGUUGCCGAU